rnacentral:rRNA from 1 species
CCUACGGGAGGCAGCAGUGGGGAAUUUUGGACAAUGGGCGCAAGCCUGAUCCAGCCAUUCCGCGUGCAGGAUGAAGGCCUUCGGGUUGUAAACUGCUUUUGUACGGAACGAAAAGGCUCUGGCUAAUACCUGGGGCUCAUGACGGUACCGUAAGAAUAAGCACCGGCUAACUACGUGCCAGCAGCCGCGGUAAUACGUAGGGCGCGAGCGUUAAUCGGAAUUACUGGGCGUAAAGCGUGCGCAGGCGGUUAUGUAAGACAGAGGUGAAAUCCCCGGGCUCAACCGGGGAACUGCCUUUGUGACUGCAAAGCUAGAGUGCGGCAGAGGGGGGUGGAAUUCCUGGUGUAGCAGUGAAAUGCGUAGAGAUCAGGAGGAACACCGAUGGCGAAGGCAGCCCCCUGGGUUGACACUGACG